rnacentral:lncRNA from 1 species
UCGGUUUGUGAUCCUAGUUUCAUUGUCUCCUUUGCUGAUUCACUUAUACCAGAACGCUCUGAAGGUUUCUCAGCUUGUGAUCCUAGUUUCACUGUCUCCUUUGCUGAUUCACUUAUACUAGUUCCCUUUGAAGGUUGCUCCGCUUCUGAUUCUAAUUUCACUGUUUUCUUGGGUGGUUCACUUAUACUAGUUACCUCUGAAGGUUUCUCCGCUUCUGAUUUUAGUUUCACUGUUUCCUUGGCCGGUACACUUAUAAUAGUUACCUCUGAAGGUUUCUCAGCUUGUGAUUCUAGUUUCACUGUUUCCUUGGCUGGCUCACUUAUAAUAGUUACCUCCGAAG